UGGGGUGUCGCCAAGCGGUAAGGCAACGGACUUUGACUCCGUCACUCGUUGGUUCGAAUCCAGCCAUCCCAGCCA
rnacentral:tRNA from 1 species